GCGACUAAUCACGUGAUACCCAACAUUUGAGGCGGUGUAAAUACAAAGUACAAAUAAAAGAAAGUACAACGAUGUGCAUGGGACACUUGUAACAGUGAUUCGUACUACAAGGACAAGGAAUAUAAUGAGAAAUGUGACUUUAUGGCCAAUUCUUAAGCCCAAAACAUGAUUACGCGAAACUUUAGUGUGGGUGAAAGCAUGCAAUAGGAAAAAUUUCACUGUGAAAAACGUAAUCAAACAUGCCUCCGUAUGCAGCAAGCACUUUGUGGAAGGUCAUCCUACAGAGAAAUAUCCGUACCCGGUUAUUGUAGGAUCGUCAUCCCAGGGAAAACCAUUGAGAAAACCCCCAACUAAAAAGGCUAACAAUCACGAAACCCCAACCACCGCAAAGCUUUCCCGUGAUGUUGAUAUCGAAACUGUUCCUACCCCGGCAGCAUUUAUUGUGAUAGAUGACGUAGAGGAUAUUGCAACUGAUUCUUUUGAUGAUAUUGAUUCAGCGUCAUGGCUUCUUAAAGGGACUUGUUGAGGGUACAUCAAUAUGCGGAAAGAGACAUUAUGUUGAAGCUGCAUCAUUGUGCGGGUCUGGCGGAAUUUUGCUAUCUAGAGAGCCAUUCAUUGUUGGAUACCGUCGUUUCCAGGUCCUUUGGUGGUGUGGUUUUCUACUCACUUUUGUUAUGCAGGAAAGCUCGGUGCAUCUGUUGAUUCCUUGAAGCCAUGACAUUUACCCAUAUCAAGAACUUGUUCUGUUCUGUAUCAAGGUCAUAUAGGUUUCUGAUCAAGAUGUCUGACCGUCCUUGAAACUUCUUUUUUUCUUCCUAGUGAGAAUUCUUUUGGACAUAACUUAUCAAAUGAAUCUUUUCAAUUCUAUGUACAUGUUCUGAGAAAUGUUAUGGCAAUGUGAGCAUAUGAAACUAAUUAACAAACACGUGUAUACAUAAGAUUUUAUAAUUUCUAGAGAUUUAUUGACAAUCCAAUCUAUUUCUGAUGAAAUAAAUAAAAUUUGUACAUACAAUUGAAAUGAAUAACUAAAAUUACAAUAAAUGUGAAGUGUCA